GACGGAGGAUGCAAGCGUUAUCCGGAAUGAUUGGGCGUAAAGCGUCCGCAGGUGGCAGUUCAAGUCUGCUGUCAAAGACCGGGGCUUAACUUCGGAAAGGCAGUGGAAACUGAACAGCUAGAGUAUGGUAGGGGCAGAGGGAAUUCCUGUGUAGCGGUGAAAUGCGUAGAGAUCAGGAAGAACAUCGGUGGCGAAGGCGCUCUGCUGGACCAUAAACUGACACUCAGGGACGAAAGCUAGGGGAGCGAAAUGGG
rnacentral:rRNA from 1 species